rnacentral:rRNA from 1 species
CUAUCCGGCGUGGGCGUAGGAUAUUUGAGAGGAGCUGACCUUAGUACGAGAGGACCGGGUUGGACUGGCCGCUGGUGUAUCUGUUGUCCUGCCAAGGGCAUAGCAGAGUAGCCAAGCCGGGAAGGGAUAAACGCUGAAGGCAUCUAAGCGUGAAGCCCCCCUCAAGAUGAGAUAUCCCAUAACGUCAAGUUAGUAAGACCCCUUGAAGACGACGAGGUAGAUAGGGCAGAGGUGGAAGUGCGGCAACGCAUGGAGCUGACUGUUACUAAUAGGUCGAGGGCAUAACCA